AGUGAACGCUGGCGGCGUGCCUAAUACAUGCAAGUCGCACGGAGUGGCGCACGGGUGAGUAAUGUAUAGCUAAUCUGCCCUACACUAGAGGACAACCGUUGGAAACGGCUGCUAAUACUCUAUAGUGUAGGAUGAGGCUCUAUUGUAUCAGCUAGUUGGUGAGGUAAUGGCUCACCAAGGCUAUGACGCAUAACUGGUCUGAGAGGAUGAGCAGUCACACUUGAACUGAGACACGGUCCAGACUCCUACGGGAAGGAGCAGUAGGGAAUAUGGCUCAAUGGGGGAAACCCUGAAGCAGCAUCGCCGCGUAGAGGAUGACACUUUUCGAAGCGUAAACUCCUUUUGUUAGGGAAGCGGUACCUAACGAAUAAGCACCGGCUAACUCCGUGCCAGCAGCCGCGGUAAUAC
rnacentral:rRNA from 1 species